ACAAUCAACCACGUUAUGUUAGUAGGUCACCAAAGAACAGAACUCAUCAUUAUUGGAAUACACAGUCCUACCCACAAGUCACGGAAAGUUAUAGGUCAGGAUUUACGACGAGAUUCCAAUCGCCUCCAAGAUUUAACGCACCGCGAGGUAAUGAGCAGGAUGCAUCGACAAGAAUAAACAACAAAAGGCGAACGUCUUCACGCGACUUCAUAUCAGGUGUAACGCUAGGAAAAAGAAGAAAUUUCGAUAAAAAUAAUAGUAAUAAUAAUAAUGCAAACUAUGGAGAUGAACUGUUAGCAAUGUUAAAACAAAUUUGGAACCGACUCAAUAGACUGGAAAACGCAAUACAUUCACAAUCGUCUACGUUUUCAGAGCCGAGAGUGCGACGUAGGAAUAGGAAAACAAAGCAUGACGAACGUUAUUCGUCACAACGUUCUUACGAUAUAUCUGGCGUCAGACAGAAUAAUUUUUAUGAGUUUGCACAACAAAAUUCACGGGGUAAAACAC
rnacentral:lncRNA from 1 species